CCCUCCCUCCCAGACCCUCCCACCUCCUGGACAGCAUCCAUUUUGAAGCUGCAUUCUUAUUGAGCUGUCCAGGAGGUGGGAGGGUCUGGGAGGGAGGG
rnacentral:miRNA from 1 species